UACAGAGGUCUCAAGCGUUGUUCGGAUUCAUUGGGCGUAAAGGGUGCGUAGGCGGGUAAGUAAGUCCGUGGUGAAAUCUCUGAGCUUAACUCAGAAACUGCCGUGGAUACUAUUUGCCUUGAAUAUUGUGGAGGUGAGCGGAAUAUGUCAUGUAGCGGUGAAAUGCUUAGAUAUGACAUAGAACACCAAUUGCGAAGGCAGCUCACUACACAAUCAUUGACGCUGAGGCACGAAAGCGUGGGGAUCAAACAGG
rnacentral:rRNA from 1 species